AGGAAGCCUAAUAUCCCAAGUCGAUAGUUGAUGGUCACAACAACAACAUGCCCAGUUUUGGCCAACAUGCUCCCGUCAUAAAAUGACGCACUUCCUACAGUAUAAGAACCCCCAUGUACCCACACCAUCACAGAUUUUCUGGAAAACCUGCUCAAACCCGGCGGGGCGUAGAUGUCCAGGUGUAGACAGUCCUCGUUCAUGCCGUAUUUGACGAAGUGUUGGUUGUGGACCUGCGGACACGCCGGUCCGUGGGUCGUGGCAUUCAGCGUACCCUUCCAGGGGCCCCGCGGCCUCGGUUUGGUGAACCUGAGUCUCUGAAGCGGAGGCUGCGCGUAGGGAAUGUUUAGGAAAUUGUACAAUUUAACUGUGUUUUGUUCUGAGAUUUCGAGUCCCUGGAUGAAGCCUAGUUUAGUCUUGUGUAUAACAUGCUGGCUGUUUUGAACGUAUGUUGAUACUUGACCAAAUAUCGCUAAAGUGAUGAUGGUUAUCCUCAUAGCAAUGGUUGUCCUCUAAAGAUUAAAUAACAAUUUUU
rnacentral:sRNA from 1 species